AUUCAGUGUUUGGGUGAAGACGGAGGCGGGUUCUGGACAGACCUACGCUGUCGGGGAGUGUUUACUUCGCCUCCACUUCUGUUCCUCCCCGCCCUGGUGCUGCUCCAGGUCACAUACUCUUCCUGAGCCGGCUUCAGCCUCUCCGCGCAGAAGUCUCCCGGAGCCAUGGCCUAGUAUUCUUAUGUGAAGUCUACCAAGCUUGUGCUCAAGGGAACCGAGGUGAAGAGCUGGGUCCUGCAGCUCCGGCGGGAGCCUCCUCAGUUCUUUUCGGACGCACUCCACCCCCGCGAAUCCGGUGGAAGCCGUGAUGCGGAGAGCCGGCUUCGUGGCCUCCCAGGCUUCGCUCUGACCCUGUCUGGGCUGGAUGGAGGCCGGACCGCCCUUCCUGGCGCCUGUGCAGAGAGGGGCAGCCUCCUGCGCGGACGACCCUGGAAACAGGAUAGACGGGCGGGUGACCCGUGACCCCGUACCCACGAGUUUGGGUCCCUUGAGGCAUCUCUCCAGGCCUCUGCCUGAUUUGCCUGAGGUUGACUGUACAUGCAAAUAUUGAGCUUUCCUCCUGGCCUCCGUGAUAAACAGAAGUUUUGAUAUUGUUAGGCGAGAUGGAAAGAAAGUAUCAAGGAGUGAGCUGAAGCCACUGCCCUUGAGAACCCUCUCGAGGAGUCUGGCCUCAUGAAGAUGCCAGAAUAAAUGGCAGUAAGAAGAAAAAGAGCAAAGAUAAGAAGAGAAAAAGAGAAGAUGAAGAAACCCAGCUUGAUAUGUUGGAAUCUGGUGAACAGUAACAAACUUUGGUGAAAUUUCAGGAACCAUAGCCAUUGAAGUGGAUGAGGGAACCUAUAUACAUGCACUCAACAAUGGUCUUUUUACCCUGGGAGCUCCACACAAAGAAGAAUCGCCCUGAAACCUGGCUAUGGAAAAUAUCUUAGUAUAAAUUCAGAUGAACUUGUUGUUGGCGUUCAGAUGCAAUUGGACCAAGAGAACAAUGGGAACCAGUCUUUCAAAAUCAAGAGGUCAGAAAUGGUGGGCCAGCUGAGAUGGGAGAAGAAAAGAGAAAUGGCACAAAGUGGAGAGAAGACACCGACCAUACCUCCUUUCCUCUCUUUCCCACCACAGGUGGACAGCCCAAAGCACACUCCAACUGGAGGAAGGUUUGCCAUUAAAGAUAAGGUGGAGUUUUGAUUAUUA
rnacentral:lncRNA from 1 species